AAAAAGUGCUCAUUUUUCGAAGCCAAAAUUGGAUUUAAAAUACAGAGAAGAUUAGCAUGGCCCUGCACAAGGACAACAUUCAAAUGUUCUCUUCUUCUUCUCUUUCUU